GAUGAAGAACGUAGCGAAAUGCGAUAAGUAGUGUGAAUUGCAGAAUUCAGUGAAUCAUCGAGUCUUUGAACGCACAUUGCGCCCCCUGGUAUUCCGGGGGGCAUGCCUGUCCGAGCGUCAUUGCUGCCCUCAAGCACGGCUUGUGUGUUGGGCUCCGUCCCCCCGGGGACGGGUCCGAAAGGCAGCGGCGGCACCGAGUCCGGUCCUCGAGCGUAUGGGGCUUUGUCACCCGCUCUGUAGGCCCGGCCGGCGCCAGCCGACAACCAAUCAUCCUUUUUUCAGGUUGACCUCGGAUCAGGUAGGGAUACCCGCUGAACUUAAGCAUAUCAAUAAGCGGAGGA
rnacentral:misc_RNA from 1 species